UUCUUUGGAGAGUUUGAUCCUGGCUCAGGACGAACGCUGGCGGCGUGCCUAAUACAUGCAAGUCGAGCGGACCGGAUUGGGGCUUGCCUUGAUUCGGUCAGCGGCGGACGGGUGAGUAACACGUGGGCAACCUGCCCGCAAGACCGGGAUAACUCCGGGAAACCGGAGCUAAUACCGGAUAACA
rnacentral:rRNA from 1 species